GAUGAACGCUGGCGGCGUGCCUAAUACAUGCAAGUCGAGCGAACAGACGAGGAGCUUGCUCCUCUGACGUUAGCGGCGGACGGGUGAGUAACACGUGGAUAACCUACCUAUAAGACUGGGAUAACUUCGGGAAACCGGAGCUAAUACCGGAUAAUAUAUUGAACCGCAUGGUUCAAUAGUGAAAGACGGUUUUGCUGUCACUUAUAGAUGGAUCCGCGCCGCAUUAGCUAGUUGGUAAGGUAACGGCUUACCAAGGCAACGAUGCGCAGCCGACCUGAGAGGGUGAUCGGCCAGCCUGGAACUGAGACACGUUCCACACUCCUACGGUAGGCAGCAGUAGGGAAUCUUCCGCAAUGGGCGAAAGCCUGACGGAGCAACGCCGCGUGAGUGAUGAAGGUCUUCGGAUCGUAAAACUCUGUUAUUAGGGAAGAACAAAUGUGUAAGUAACUAUGCACGUCUUGACGGUACCUAAUCAGAAAGCCACGGCUAACUACGUG
rnacentral:rRNA from 1 species